rnacentral:rRNA from 1 species
UACGAAGGGGGCUAGCGUUGCUCGGAAUUACUGGGCGUAAAGCGCACGUAGGCGGGUCUUUAAGUCAGGGGUGAAAUCCUGGAGCUCAACUCCAGAACUGCCUUUGAUACUGAAGAUCUUGAGUUCGGGAGAGGUGAGUGGAACUGCGAGUGUAGAGGUGAAAUUCGUAGAUAUUCGCAAGAACACCAGUGGCGAAGGCGGCUCACUGGCCCGAUACUGACGCUGAGGCACGAAAGCGUGGGGAGCAAACAGG